rnacentral:misc_RNA from 1 species
GAUGAAGAACGCAGCGAAAUGCGAUAAGUAGUGUGAAUUGCAGAAUUCCGUGAAUCAUCGAAUCUUUGAACGCACAUUGCGCCUUCUGGUAUUCCGGAAGGCAUGCCUGUUCGAGAGUCAUUGACAACCGUUUCGAUCCCUUUCUUUCAGAAAUUACAAAGAGGAAAAGGGUUUGGUUAUGGUGGAGGAGGGAAAGGGAGCGUUUAGCCUGUAAAAAAAGAGGCUGUGUUCCGCCUCCCCCCCAAAAUUGUACAGGCGGUCGUGUGCGCCCACGCAUCGAGGUGUUGUAAAAGCUGCCACGGCACUUUUCACCUGUGCAGUGCGAGAUUGGCCAGCCGGUUUAAAAACCCCUCCAAACAAUCAAAGGUUGACCUCGGAUCAGGUAGGGAUACCCGCUGAACUUAAGCAUAUCAAUAAGCGGAGGA